AGUCUUAUAUUCAAAAAUGAUUUUAAAUUGCAAAUUUAAAGGUAAGAAAUUCUUUAAGGCUU
rnacentral:tRNA from 1 species